AGCCUGAAGACGUGAGUUCUGCUAAUCAUGAUGUCUGUAUUUUCGAAUUUAAUAAUAACAAAGAUUAACCGAUCGAAUUUGGGAUGUAGGUGCGGGAAGAUGUUGUGGACGAGGGAAUGUUGUGACUAGCGGCAACCAGAGGUUGGGUGCCCGGUGACAGCAGCCCUCCUUUGAGCAAGAGGCUUUCAGCUAAGAAUUGGCAGAAUGAGAGCGACAAAAGGAAGGAGCUGAAUCUUUUGAAAUAUGAAGCACUCAAGGAUGAAUUGCUGCUCUUGACCACAGGGAUUGGAGCAGCAUGUAGUUUAUAUUGUCUCCUGGUUUUCUCUCUUGAGGUACGUCCUCAUAUCAAAAGAAAGAAACAUAAUUUAAAUGUUUCCGUGUCUAAUCUAAAACUCUUGUAGCAACUGAUGUUUACCCACAAAACAACAGCUUGU